GCCUCCGUAGUGUAAUGGUCGGCACACUCGGCGUGUAUUCGAGAGGUCAGUGGUUCGAAUCCCUGCGAGGGCA
rnacentral:tRNA from 1 species